CCUACGGGGCGCAGCAGUCGAGAAUCAUUCACAAUGGGGGAAACCCUGAUGGUGCGACGUCGCGUGGGGGAAUGAAGGUCUUCGGAUUGUAAACCCCUGUCAUGUGGGAGCAAAUUAAAAAGAUAGUACCACAAGAGGAAGAGACGGCUAAAGCUGUGCCAGCAGCCGCGGUAAUACAGAGGUCUCAAGCGUUGUUCGGAAUCACUGGGCGUAAGGCGUGCGUAGGCUGUUUCGUAAGUCGUGUGUGAAAGGCGCGGGCUCAACCCGCGGACGGCACAUGAGACUGCGAGACUAGAGUAAUGGAGGGGGAACCGGAAUUCUCGGUGUAGCAGUGAAAUGCGUAGAUAUCGAGAGGAACACUCGUGGCGAAGGCGGGUUCCUGGACAUUAACUGACGCUGAGGCACGAAGGCCAGGGGAGCGAAAGGGAUUAGAUACCCCUGUAGUC
rnacentral:rRNA from 1 species